rnacentral:rRNA from 1 species
UAGGGAAUCUUCCACAAUGGACGCAAGUCUGAUGGAGCAACGCCGCGUGAGUGAAGAAGGUCUUCGGAUCGUAAAGCUCUGUUGUUGGUGAAGAAGGAUAGAGGCAGUAACUGGUCUUUAUUUGACGGUAAUCGACCAGAAAGUCACGGCUAACUACGUGCCAGCAGCCGCGGUAAUACGUAGGUGGCAAGCGUUGUCCGGAUUUAUUGGGCGUAAAGCGAGCGCAGGCGGAAUGAUAAGUCUGAUGUGAAAGCCCACGGCUCAACCGUGGAACUGCAUCGGAAACUGUCAUUCUUGAGUGCAGAAGGGGAGAGUGGA